AUAGCCGCGGGCGGUCGGGGGGGUGCCCCUUAUCCCGAAGCCUCGGCCUCCCCGCCGGUGAUCCACCCUCCGACGGAUGGGGUUUCCCACGUGCAAGGGGCGCGCAAGCCCGGAGCAAUGCCAGGCGGGGUUUGGGGUCCCAGUUACUCGCUGGGAAGAGGUGGUUUCAUGGCACCUAAGCUGAUCCUCCAACAUCUGAGAAAUAUAAGACAAAAAAAUCUGCUUCUCUCCACUGCUUUCAAAAAGCAGUUGAUGGGGUACUUGUCACCAGCCAAAAACACCUGUUUUCAAGAGUCUGUUGCGGCCAGUGCCUGUGGAGCCUGAGCACCAGAUGACAGAAAUUAUUAUUCUGAUCUAACAAUGAAUGUUAUGUGAGUAUUUAUUAU